AAGCAGCACAGCUGCACUGUGCGGCACAGAGGAUCUCAGUAGGUUUUAUUUGAAAUGACUGUUAAUUUAUAGCUAAGGUUCAUUAAAGGAAAUCAACAGCAUCUUUGGUUUGAGCAACCACAUGGUCACCAGUACUUCUUUUUAUCCCUCCUCCCUCCAUCCCAUUCCUGUGACGCUUUGUAAAACUUUUUUUGUCUGUUAUCCAACAGCUCCCUGAGGCUGCUGAGAACAUGGAGAGAUUAUUUCCAAUAGUGGUGUUCUUUACAUGAAGAGGGUACUUGGCUCUGCUCCUCUUUACCAUAACUUUUCUGUAGGUUGUGGUGUGGUAACGUGGAUGAAUAUUCAUUUAUCCUUAAUCCACUUUUUGACUUGCUGGUGGAAGUGUUCAUAGUAAAGAAACAGGCUGGUGAUAAUGCUUGCUUUUACUUCUUAUUGUCAGUAUUUCAACUGUGGAUUCUUUUGGGAAACCUCUUUGAGCCCAGCUCCAGUAGGUGGUUGUGCUUGCACUGUCAGCCCGUUAUGCAUCUUUAUUUGGUUGAUAGGUUGGGAACUUUUCAUUUGGAUGUGUAAUAUGACAAAAAAAUAUGACAAAAAAAAUCUGUGUUUUCAGAAGCACAGGACUUGAAGGGACAGAGGCAGAUCUCCACCAAAAUCAUGGGAGGUGAGAUGGCUCUGUCUGAGCUACUCCAAAUUAAAUCAGUUAGAUCAGAGAUCGGUUUUAAAGCUGGUGGAGUAAAUGGGAAGUUAAACAAUGGGCAUUUGACAAUGUGGUAGCUUGUGUUUGCAUAUCAGGUCUCUAAAACUGCUGUAUAGUCUUCUGGUUUGCGUUAGAGGCUGUAAGGCCACAAUAAUUGCUUCAAGGAAGGCAUUAUAACAGAGAAAGUGAAAUGCAAGGACAAAGGAGGACUUCCUCUAUUGUCUAGGCAGUGGAGAAAACUCCUUGAUAUCCCUCUUAUCAGAUAAGAGUGAGCAGCAAGUUUUUUAUAUACGUCACCUCUCUCUUGUGGCUUAGGAACAUGCUGAGUCAAACAAUGACACCCUCAUUCACGUUGUCGCCGGCUCAGCCCCACAGGGAUGGCUGAGAAGUGGAAAUGUGAGAAACCUCCCAGCCCAGCCCUGCCAGGCCGAAUCCUCCUCUUUCCUCUUUGCUACGGUGCCACCCAAGAGAUGCAUGACUUCGACCCCGAAAGCCCGGUUCCCCCACCCACAUUUUCCUUUACAGGAGAGCUGAAUGGAGGCUUUUCCCAUGGCUUAGUCAUUGCUAUGGCUCAGCCAAAAAACUCUGUAAUGUACAGGGCUGCUUUCAAAGAAUUUUUAUAACUUAGGUCUGUGAAAUUUUGUGUGUGUACUAUCUGUGACUUGGGGGGAUUGUAGGAAAAGAGGGGAGAGAGUUAUGCUGGAAAAUGGGAGACUUAGGAGGAAGAUUCCUGUAAAACAGAUUUAGAAAAACUAGUCUUUGAAAUAUUUCUGACAACUUUGUAAGUUAGUUCUACCCCCUUGCAAUCUUAUUUUCCUAUUAUAAACUUUGGUAUAAUUCUUUGGUCUUUUAACUUUGCUUUGAAGAGGGAAAACCUAACCUGGGACAAAAUCUAUUCUUAACUUGUAUUUGCAAUAACAAGCAGAGUAAAUAUAACUCUGAAUGGGGAGACAUAGGUACUAAAAUAUUACUAGGCAACAAUAUAAAACCAUUUACAUUCUCCAUAAUGUUCCUCCAGAGUUAACUUGUAGCUGAUUUCUUUCCCAUCCUGCUCCUAGGUAAACCCAGUAAUCCUUUUUAGGCACAUAGUUCAAUAUAUUUGUGUUCUUCCCAACCACUGAUAACAAACUGUACUGAGAAAACUUCCUGUUAACACCCAGAGCCUGAGACAAGCUUAGACCGACCCUGCACAGUGCCAGAUAUUCAGAACUGUCCUCUUGUGGGCACAUCCUUUUAAGUCUCCUUUAGUGCUGGGAGCAGCCUCCCACCUCCUGGGUCACACCUUUCUCUGAAUGUAGGAUGGAAGAAGCCUCCCUGGGUCACCAAGUGUAGUCUUCUGCCACUGCAGGCAUCCACAUCAUGCAGUUCCUUUCAUAUCUCAGCUAAAAACUCCUGCAUAAGGCCUGAACAGUUUGAUUUCUGUAACUAAGAGCUUAGAGCUGUGCCUGGGCUGUGUUCCAGCUUUUACAGAGAGCUUCAUUCUUGUUAGCAUUGCAGUAGUGCUCAUAAUCUUUCCCCACUACCAGAGGACAGCCACGUUCAGAGGACAAGGCAGCAGCUGACAGGAUGUUCAGCUACCACAGUUCUCUUAAAAAUUUGAGGGCAGAAAGGAGUUGCUCAGCUGAAAGCCACAGGAGGGGAGAGGUUGGGGCAAUGAGUGAGACGAGUCAUUGCUCCUGCUCUGUGCGGCAGCCAGGACUUCUGCUGCUCAGGGGUUUGAUGCAUGGCAGGUCUGCAGGUCUCCUUGUGAAGGAUGGCCCACAGCCUUUCUACCACAGAAGUGUUGUCUGUUUCCCAACAUUCCCAACACAUUUCCCAAUGAUUCCACUAAGACACAGGCCUACAGUGUGAAAGGCAGGGAUGUGGUAGUGCUGAAACCCAACAGUGUGUGUAUCAUGUUCAUCCUAAAUGUUGAGAAAGAAAAAUCAGAAGAGAUACAUGCAGGUGUUGGACUGUGAAUGGAGGAUGCAGAAUGGGCACAAUGCAAAAUGCUUGCUUUUUUAAUUUACUAAUAUUAAUGAACAGAAGGAACAGAAGUCAGAAGAGAGUCACUUCUGUGCUACAACAUCAGUAGUACAAACCAGAUAACCUGCAAAGCAUUAUAGGCUCAAGAUGGAUGUGCACAGUCUACUGCAGCCCGUGGGAAUGCGCUACAUAGGUAGCAUUCCACUGGCAGCUGGGGCUCCCUUUAUCCUGUCAUGCCUUGCAUGGUGAUCAGCAUGACACUGCAGCUUGAGUUUGAUAACAGAAUUAAAGGUUUGAUGCAUUUCAUGAGGCUGCUGUGCUGGUGUGGGAUCUCCACAGCAGUGCAGUUGUUCCCCUCUUACACAGUCUAAAGCUGAAUACAGGGCACAGCCGCUGAGGGGCUAUGGCCCCUUUUCCCUCCUUCAGCAGAUCUGUCCUGAUUUUGCCUUAUUAAUACAUUCUAUAUAACUGUAUCUUCAAAAUAAGAUGCAAAUCUCUCCUUUUUAUUAUGGUUAUUGCUGGCAGAUGACUGAAUGCUACUUAUUUCUAACUAGUUCUGCUUUCUGGUUCUCAGGUACUACCACAAUACUACAGAUCGUACUCUCCUUCAUCUAUGGACGAUGUCCUGUCUUACGGUGCUGGGGCUCCUGUGGCACAGCAAGAAGUAGUGAGGACAGAGGAGCAGUGUGACAUUGCACUGGAGGAUGCAGCCUCCCUUUGGAGUGACUCCAUGUCCCUGCUUGCACACCAACUCCUCAGCUUGCCCUGAGCACCACCCCUGUGCGUGCUGUAGACCACUGGAUCAGCCACCAGAUGUGCUGUACUUCAGCUCCUGCAGUGGAGAAGAGGCUUUGGUGUCACACUGUGUAGCCUAAGAGAAGGCUGAGGCAGAAGCCACCUUUGCAGUUCUCAGGUUGAGUUCCAUGCAGAGUUCAGUGAAUUGAUUCACAGGAUCACAGAAUCAUCACUUAACUGGAGCCAGGAGAGCCAUGGACUCACCUGUAUGAGCCUUCAUUCCUUCCCUAACUCUCCUCCCUUCUGCUCUGGACCAGUGACUGCCCAAACUUUUGAGUUUUCAACAACAGCAGUUUUGCCUCUGCCACACAAGUUCCCAGAAGCGUGUACGCCAUUCCCUCUGAGUGAACCUAUGGGAAUGUAUUAAAAAGGAGCAAAGACCUCUUGCUAGAAAACAGAGGAGAAGAAAAAUAACAUUCAAAAAACCUGAGGUAGUAAACAUGAUGACUACAUCUGUAGAUGAAUAUACAAGAAAAGAGUACAAUUGGUCUCAAAAAUACUCUUCUGGACAAGGACAUUUUUCUUGUCUGUUACUUAAGAGCUUCUUGCAGAUUUUACAAUUGAUACCCAUCCCUUGAGCAGGACAGUGCUAUUUCUCUGAACUAACUCGAGGGAAACCAAAAGGCAAACAAGGAGGCACUGAAGAUCCUAGCCUAGAACAAUGGAGGCUUUUGAAAAUCACAUUUUUCCCAUUAUCACUGCAAGAUAUGCAGGUAGGCAGAUAACCAAGGGUUAGCUUUCUUUUGAAGCACCCAGACUUUACCUAGAAGCAAUAUCAUAGGAUUCAUAAUUCCUUCCCAUAUAGCUCAGUUUCCACUCCUGGAUCCUCCUCUUCUGAUUAUCAUAAGGAUUACAUAAUUACUUUGUUAUUCAACCCAUGGAAAAACUCUGUCAAUGCUUCUUUUACUUGGUACCUAAACCUCCCAGGAUAGUUGCAUCCCUUAAAUCUCGCCUUCUGCAGGUUUGGACCCUGAUGUUGAGGGAACAGCUGAGAAGUCAGAAGAGAUGCUGAUGGCACUCCAAAGGAUGCAAAAUAAUUGUACUUGAUACUGCUGCAUAAAGGGCAAAAACGUGAAGGGAAAUGGAAACAUUAAACCUGAGAACAGGAAAACUCAUGAGAAUCUCAGAAACGGCCUGAAGAAAAAAGGAGACAAAGAUGUAAUUUCCAAAACAAUACCCGGAGAUCAAAGGAGGCUGAUGUGCUUUCAAACACCAUUUGUGGCGGAUCUGCAGGGAAAGGUUAAAGAACAUUGUUUUCAAAGGUGCUGGGAAAAUGCAGAGUGUGGCAGAGAAGCAUUAGACCCUGUAGAUUUUUUCUUGUCUCUUUUCCUUGCCAUUGCCCUCUGCACAACUGAUUUGGCCUCACUGAGAGAAAUGUCACCGUUCACUUCACUUUAAAUUGCGUUUAAAUUGAGCAGAGAUAAACAGUUCUACCCUCUGAUAUAAUCAUGUGCCAUGGAAACUCUCCUUACUGGUUGUCUGAGCUGCCUUGUUUUCUUCUUUAUUGCUAGACCGAGUUCAGUGCACAAACUUACCCUCUCAGCUCUGUUCAUGAUAUCCCGAUUGAUUUAAUUAAGUUUGGCCAAUUUCUGUCAAAGCUAAUAAAUAACUAGAAAUAUUAAAAUGUUCCGUGCUGACACGUUCA